GAUGAACGCUGGCGGCGUGCCUAACACAUGCAAGUCGAGCGAACAGAUGAGGAGCUUUCUCCUCUGACGUUAGCGGCGGACGGGUGAGUAACACGUGGAUCACCUACCUAUAAGACUGGGAUAACUUCGGGAAACCGGAGCUAAUACCGGAUAAUAUAUUGAACCGCAUGGUUCAUUAGUGAAAGACGGUGUUGCUUUCACAUAUGUAUUGUUCCGCAACGCAUUAGCUAGUUGGUAAGGUAACGGCUUACCAAGGCAACGAUUCGUAGCCGACCUGAGCGGGUGGUGGGGCACCCCGGAACUGAACUACGGUACAGACUACAACGGGAGGCAGCAGAGGGGUAUCGUACACAAUGGGCGAAAGCCUGACGGAGCCACGCCGCGUCGGUGGUAGAAGUCUUCGGAUCGGAAAACUCUGUUAUUAGGGAAGAACAAGUGUGUGAGUAACGAGGCACGUCUUGACGGUACCUAAUCAGAAAGCCACGGCUAACUACGUG
rnacentral:rRNA from 1 species